rnacentral:rRNA from 1 species
UACGGGGGGUGCAAGCGUUGUCCGGAAUCACUGGGCGUAAAGGGCGCGUAGGUGGUGUCGUAAGUCUGUGGUGAAAGCCCGGGGCUCAACCCCGGGUCUGCCGCGGAGACUGCGAGACUCGAGUACUGUAGGGGCUGGUAGAAUGCCGGGUGUAGCGGUGGAAUGCGUAGAGAUCCGGCAGAAGACCGGUGGCGAAGGCGGCCAGCUGGGCAGUGACUGACACUGAGGCGCGACAGCGUGGGGAGCAAACAGG